UGUCUCUUGAUCCACCAAUAAGAGAUAACUCCUGCCCAGUGAAAAAUUUUUCAACGGCCGCGGUAUCCUAAUCGUGCAAAGGUAGCAUAAUCACUUGUCUAUUAAUUGUAGACUAGAAUGAAAGGAUAAACGAAAUAAGAACUGUCUCUGCUAGUUUUUUAUAACUUAUAAUUUAGAUGAAGAUAUCUAAAUAUAAAUGAAGGACAAGAAGACCCUAUAGAGCUUUAUUACUGAAAAGAAAUAUUCUUCUUUUACGGAUUCGGUUGGGGCGACCAAGGGAAAUCAAUCACCCUUAAUACUAAGAUUUAUUAAUCUCCAUAAUGACCCUUAAAUAAGAGCAUAAAAAUAAGCUACCUUAGGGAUAACAGGCUAAUCCUAUUAAAGAGUCCUUAUCUAUAAUAGGGUUUGGCACCUCGAUGUUGGCUUAGGGUAUCUCUAUGGCGCAAAAGUCAUAGACAGAUGGUUUGUUCAACCUAUAACUCCCU
rnacentral:rRNA from 1 species